rnacentral:tRNA from 1 species
CCUCAGCAUGUUGGCUCAGAGGAAGCGCGUCGGGCUCAUAACCCGAAGGUACGAUCAUUCUCGGAUUACCUGAUUGAAUUCAAGACUAACUGAAUCAGGUCCCUGGAUCGAAACCAGGACAUGCUAGUAUGUCU